rnacentral:rRNA from 1 species
UACGUAGGGGGCUAGCGUUGUUCGGAAUCACUGGGCGUAAAGGGUGCGUAGGCGGGUCUUUAAGUCAGGGGGGAAAUCCUGGAGCUCAACUCCAGAACUGCCUUUGAUACUGAGGAUCUCGAGUCCGGGAGAGGUGAGUGGAACUCCGAGUGUAGAGGUGAAAUUCGUAGAUAUUCGGAAGAACACCAGUGGCGAAGGCGGCUCACUGGCCCGGUACUGACGCUGAUGUGCGAAAGCGUGGGGAGCAAACAGG